UACGGGGGGGGCAAGCGUUGUUCGGAAUUACUGGGCGUAAAGGCUCGUAGGCGGCCAACUAAGUCGGAUGUGAAAUCCCCAGGCUUAACCUGGGAAUUGCAUCCGAUACUGGAUGGCUUGAAUCCGGGAGAGGGAUGCGGAAUUCCAGGUGUAGCGGUGAAAUGCGUAGAUAUCUGGAGGAACACCGGUGGCGAAGGCGGCAUCCUGGACCGGCAUUGACGCUGAGGAGCGAAAGCCAGGGGAGCAAACGGG
rnacentral:rRNA from 1 species